UACGUAGGGCGCAAGCGUUAUCCGGAAUUAUUGGGCGUAAAGAGCUCGUAGGCGGUUUGUCGCGUCUGCCGUGAAAGUCCGGGGCUCAACUCCGGAUCUGCGGUGGGUACGGGCAGACUAGAGUGAUGUAGGGGAGACUGGAAUUCCUGGUGUAGCGGUGAAAUGCGCAGAUAUCAGGAGGAACACCUAUGGCGAAGGCAGCACUCUGGGACGGUACUGACGCUGAGACGCGAAAGCGUGGGGAGCGAACAGG
rnacentral:rRNA from 1 species